rnacentral:rRNA from 1 species
UACGUAGGGUCCGAGCGUUGUCCGGAUUUAUUGGGCGUAAAGAGCGUGUAGGCGGUCCGGUAAGUCCGCUGUGAAAGUCGGGGGCUCAACCCUCGAAAUCGCCGGUGGACUACUGUCGGGCUAGGAGUGCGGAAGAGGCGAAGUGGAAUUCCGUGGUGUCAGCGGUGAAAUGACGCAGAUAUCAGGAGGAACACCAAUGGCGAAAGCAGCUCUCUGGGACGGUACUGACGCUGAGACGCGAAAGCGUGGGAGCGAACAGG